rnacentral:rRNA from 1 species
UACGGAGAGCGCGAGCAUUAAUCGGAAUUAUUGGGCGUAAAGGGCGCGUAGGCGGGGAGGCAAGUCAGAUGUGAAAUUCCGAAGCUCAACUUCGGAGCUGCAUUUGAAACUGCCAUUCUAGAGGGUUGACGGAGAAAACGGAAUUCCACGUGUAGCGGUGAAAUGCGUAGAUAUGUGGAAGAACACCUGUGGCGAAAGCGGUUUUCUAGUUAAUACCUGACGCUGAGGCGCGAGAGCAAGGGGAGCAAACAGG